ensembl:lncRNA
GCGAGUGACUGCGUGAGGGAGUGUGUGAGUAAUAAGUGUGUGUGUGUGAGUGAGUGUGUGAGUAAUAAGUGUGUGUGAGUGAGUGUGUGAGUAAUAAGUGUGUGUGUGAGUGAGUGUGUGAGUAAUAAGUGUGUGUGAGUGAGUGUGUGAGUAAUAAGUGUGUGUGAGUGAGUGUGUGAGUAAUAAGUGUGUGUGUGAGUGAGUGUGUGAGUAAUAUGUGUGUGUGAGUGAGUGUGUGAUAAUAGUGUGUGUGUGUGUGAGUGAGUGUGUGAGUAAUAAGUGUGUGUGAGUGUGUGAGUAAUAAGUGUGUGUGAGUGAGUGAGUGUGUGAGUAAUAAGUGUGUGCGAGUAAUAGUGUGUGUGUGUGAGUGAGUGUGUGAGUAAUAAGUGUGUGUGUGUGAGUGAGUGUGUGAGUAAUAGUGUGUGUGUGUGUGAGUGAGUGUGUGAGUAAUAAGUGUGUGUGUGAGUGAGUGUGUGAGUAAUAAGUGUGUGUGUGUGAGUGAGUGUGUGAGUAUUAAGUGUGUGUGUGUGUGAGUGAGUGUGUGAGUAAUAAGUGUGUGUGUGUGAGUGAGUGUGUGAGUAAUAAGUGUGUGUGUGUGUGAGUGAGUGUGUGAGUAAUAAGUGUGUGUGUGAGUGAGUGUGUGAGUAAUAAGUGUGUGUGUGUGAGUGAGUGUGUGAGUAAUAAGUGUGUGUGUGUGUGUGAGUGAGUGUGCGAGUAAUAAGUGUGUGUGUGAGUGAGUGUGUGAGUAAUAAGUGUGUGUGUGUGAUUGAGUGUGUGAGUAAUAAGUGUGUGUGUGUGAGUGAGUGUGUGAGUAAUAAGUGUGUGUGUGAGUGAGUGAGUGUGUGAGUAAUAAGUGUGUGUGUGUGAGUGAGUGUGUGAGUAAUAAGUGUGUGUGUGUGAGUGAGUGUGUGAGUAAUAAGUGUGUGUGUGAGUGAGUGUGUGAGUAAUAAGUGUGUGUGUGUGUGAGUGAGUGUGUGAGUAAUAAGUCUGUGUGAGUAAUAAGUGUGUGUGUGUGAGUGAGUGUGUGAGUAAUAAGUCUGUGUGAGUAAUAAGUGUGUGUGUGUGUGAGUGAGUGUGUGAGUAAUAAGUCUGUGUGAGUAAUAAGUGUGUGUGUGUGAGUGAGUGUGUGAGUAAUAAGUGUGUGUGUGUGAGUGAGUGUGUGAGUAAUAAGUGUGUGUGAGUGAGUGAGUGUGUGAGUAAUAAGUGUGUGUGAGUGAGUGAGUGUGUGAGUAAUAAGUGUGUGUGAGUGUGUGAGUAAUGAAGUGUGUGUGAGUGAGUGAGUGUGU